UGUAAAAUCACAACUAUAUUGCCCUGCUUUUUGAUUACGCUACCGUGGACUACUCCACUGGAUUACUGAUCUUUUCAAAUUAAGCUACCGGCGAGUACUCCACCGGAUUACUGAUCUUUUCAAAUUACGCCACCGGCGAAUACUCCAUCGGAUUACUUAUCUUUUCAAAUUACGCUACCGGCGAGUACUUCACCGGAUUACUGAUCUUUUCAAAUUACGCAAAUUACGCCACCGGCGAGUACUCCACCGGAUUACUGAUCUUUUCAAAUUAGUUACCGGCGAGACUCCACUAGAUUACUGAUCUUUUCAAAUUACGCUACCGGCGAAGUACUCCACAGGAUUGCUGAUCUUUUCAAAUUACGCUACAGACGAGUACUCCACCGGAUUACUGAUCUUCUCAAAUUACGCAUCCGGCGAGUACUCCACCGGAUUACUGAUCUUCUCAAAUUACGCCACCGGCGAGUACUCCACUGGAUUUCUAAUCUUGACUACCGCAGUACCAUUGCAGUGACGAUGUCCGAUCAUUAUCUUGUGAGGAUGACCUGCUUUGCACAGGUGCUUUGUGCUUCUCUGUUGCCGCUAUUGUCCUGUGGAUUCGGGAUUCAUUUGAUUUCUCUUAACAAAUUGAGUGCAAUCAAUUGUUCAUUCAAGCUUUCAGGAUACUUUUCAGGUCCUGAUGUUUACACAAUGGAAGUAUACAAGCAUGGAUAAAGAGAUGCGAUAAGUUAUCUUUUCUACACUCUGUUUAAUUCUAGCAGUUAUCUUCAUUGACAAUACAGUCAUUGUCAUGUUCUACAGCACACGACAGAUGAGCGAUUUCAUUUGGAAGAACUUUGUGAGAAGGGUGUUACUUCUCCAUCUCAUAAGGCUAACUAUGCUUGCAGCCACGACGGAGUUCGAGUUUGGUUUCGUAAAUUUCAGUUUCUUUUUCUGAUUACACCACUCUUUUGGUUAAAGUAUACAUGACUUUCCACGUCUCUUAUUUUUAUUACUCUCUCCAGUAACUCAAAAUAGCAAUCAAAGAUGUUUUCUCUUGAGCUCAAAAACUGUUGCUUGGCAUGACAUCUCAAGCGGGUCAGUGAGAUUUUGGAGAAAGUUUAAUUUCAUGGUGUUUCUUCUCUUUCUCAUAAGGCUAACUGAUGUUUGCAUCUAUGACAGGUUCUGUGAUUUUUAGCUGAUUAGUGUUUUGACUUGGCAAAGUUCAGUUUAUUUCCCACCCCUCACCGAACCACCCUUUUCGUGAUAUUACACAUGCACUCCCUCUUUUGUUAUUCUUAUUACUCACUCUGCUAUGUUUUAUACAAAUUUCAGUUUUUGGAGGUUUUCAUCUGUCGAUGUUCUAUCAAAUAUGUUACUGUCAAGCAAAAGAAUUGUUUCUUGGCAUGACACUUCUGGUGGGUCUGUGAGAUUUUGGGAAAAGUUUCAUAUUUUGGUCUUUCUUCUCUUUCUCAUAGGCAAUGUGAUUCUUGCAGCCAUGCUGGGUUUCAAAGCUUUUGAGCUAGUGAUGUUUUGGCGUCACAAAGUUUAAUUUCUUUUUGUCACUAAAUUACCCUUUUGGUGAAACUACAUGACCUUCUACUUUUCUUGUUCUUAUUACUCUCUUUGGUAUAACUCAAAAAGCAAUUUAACAUGUUCUCUCUUGAGCUGGAAAGUUGUUGCUUAGCAUGGUUCCUCAGGUGGGUAUAUGAGAUUCAGUAGGAAGUUCCAUUUCAUGGUGCAUCUUCUGUGUCUCAUAAGGCUAUUGAUGCUUGCAGUCAUGACAAAUUUCAAAGCUUUUGAGUGGAUUCGUGUUUUAGCAUGGCAAAGUUCAGUUUCCUUCUUUCCCUUGACCAAGCCACCCUUUUCCUGAAAUUACAUAUGACCUUCCUCUUUUCUUAUUCUUAUUACUCUUUCUCUCUUCCGUUUUAUAAACUAUGAUGUGGAGGUUUUGUCUUCCGUGCAAGUUUGAUAAAAUCUGUUUUCUCUCGAGCUGAAAUACUGUUGCUUGGCACAACAUCUCAGGUGGAUCUAUGAGAUUUUGGAAUUAAAUUUCCAUUUCAUGGUGUUUCUUCUCCAUCUCAUAAGGCUAACUGAUACCUGCAGCUACGACGGAUUUCAAUAUUUUUGAGCUAAUCGUGUUUUGGCUUCGCAGAGGUCAGUUUGUUUUCUCACCAAACCACCCUUGUGUUGAAAUGACACAUGACCCUCCACUUUUCUUAUUUUUAUUACCCUCUCUGGCAAACUCAAAAUGACAAUCAAAUGUUUUUCUUUUGAGCUGAAAAACUGUUGCUUGGCAAUUGGCAUGGCAUCUCAAAUGCAUCCUACAUUUUGGAGAAAGUUCCAUUUCAUGUUGUUCCUUCUGUCUCAUAAAGCUAACUAAUGCUUGCAGGCUGCAGCCAUGACAGGUUCCUAAGCUAUUGAGCUGAUUCGUGUUUUGACUUGACAAAGUUUAGUUUCUUUCUCACCCCUCACCUAACCACCCUUUUCGUGAUAUUACACAAGCACUUCCUCUCUUCGUAUUCUUAUUACUCACUCUGCUUUGUUUUAUACACAAUGAAGAUUUUGAGGUUUUCAUCCUUCGAUAUUUUAUCAAACAUGUUGCCUGUGAAGCUAAAGAACUGUUGCUUGGCACGACAUUUCGGGUGGGUUAGUGAUGUAUUUUACAUCCACCAGUUCGAAGGAAGCAAAUGCACUUCAAGUACUUUCUAGUUUUCCUCAAACACAAACAAGUAAAAAAUUUGAUUUACAUGCUUCACUUCUAAAGCUAUACUCUGAUCUUAUUGAUCUUUUGUUGUGUAUAUAUAAUCCGGAAGCCCAAACAAGGUCUUGCAUUCUCUGACCCUUGUGCACCCCUUCAAAAUUGUUGAUAUUGAAAGGUCCAUAUUUGAUACAACAGUUAACUCUGGUUUUUAUGAUGUUGUUUAUUUGCAUGCAGUGAGGAUGACCUGCUUUGCCCAGGUGCUUCUCCUUCUCCGUUGCACUAUUGUCCAGUGGGUUCGGGAUUCAUCUGAGUUCCCUUAACAAAUUGAGUGCAAGCAAUUGUUCGUUCAUACUUUCAGAAUACAUCUCUGGUGGGGUUCAUCUGAGUUCCCUUAACAAAUUGAGUGCAAACAAUUGUUCAUUCAAGCUUUCAGGAUACAUCUCAGGUCCUGAUGAUAAGUUAUCUUUUCUACACUUUUGUUUGAUUCUAGCAUUUAACUUCAUUGAACAUUACAGUGUGGUGACGGGCUACGAAUUAUUUUCAGUCGAAAGGCCAAGUGUGAAAUGAAACUUGUUAACAUUUGGAAUAGCAAAUUACAAGCUCAAGGGGAGUGCACAAGUACACGUGAUGGGAAGUCAAAAGAAGAUGAACCAUUCCUGUCAUUUGUUCAUGACCUGAAUAAGAAUUAACAGCUGAAUGUUUCUAGUGCAUGUUUCAGUUAAGUAGCUGCAUUUCUUUCUCCCACUUCUCAAGAUUAUCUUAGACUGCAUUCUUAUUAAUCAUGAAAGCCUUAGAGAUUACAAUGUCUAUUUCUUAGUCUCCUGCACUACAGUCUCUUUCAUAUUCCAUCUUGCAUAUGUUCUGAUUUUGUAACAGAAUUGUCAUGCCUGGCUUUUUUUUGCUCAAGUUUUCACAAUUUGCACCAACAGAAACUGAAGUUUCUGGGAGAAAAUGGAGGGACUUCCCUCCAGAUAUUACAGUUGUUUACCUUAGCUAUAUCUCAGAUAUUCUUGGGACUUCUUCUCUAUUUAUUUUGUUAAGAUGAUAAAUUUUUACUUUUUCCAAUAUGAGAUGCAGAGUGGUAUUGGAACAACGAAUCUUAAGAAUCAGGAUUCUAUACUCAAUGUCACUUGUGACGUCUUGCAUUUUAUCGGUGAUUAAUCAGUUCCUGAUACCAUUGAUAAAAACUGCCUAGAGGGUGCCAAAGUUCUCGAACAGGUUGAUAAUAAGUUUAUUCCGAUUGUGGCGAACACAACAAUUGCUAUAAUUGAUCAGAUCCAUUCUGUCCUUUCUAUUGUCCGUUAUGACCAUUCUUUGUUUCUCAUGAAUUUCCUUAUAAUGCAUUUACUUUAAAUGAUUGUUUCUCUUAGGGAUCCUUUGGUUGGACAUAAGCAAAAAUAAAUCUCAGCAUAAACUUCCACAUAAACAGUAUAACAUUUGUUUGCUGCAUGCAUAACUAUGUUAUCACUCAGUUAUCCCCAUAAGAAGAAUAAGCUUGACAUAACUGAUGCAGCAUUUGGUUCUGGAAAAAUGAGGAUGACAGGCUAUCUUGAUCCUAAGCAAGAAUUGGCACCUAUUUUAUCUGAUAAGGAUAUUGGUUUCGAGUCUUCAACCAUGCUUUUGCAGGUCAUGCUUGAAAUUGGUUACCAGUCAGUGGCGGAGCCAGGAAUUUAACAAAGGGUGUCCAGAAAUAGCAACUUGUUAUGUUAAGGGUGUCCAAAAUAUGUUAUUUAAUCAUUUCGUAUAUCAUUUUACUUAUAUAUAUGGGAUUAGAUCUGCAACAUUCAUUCGCAAGCUUCAAAAUCAUGUACUAGGUAGCCAACAUCUGUCACCAAGCAUGGCAAGCACUGAAGAUAAGCAGUUGUAAUUAUGCUUUUUAAGUCCUUGAGGAUGUGUAAGAGAUAAAUUUUGAGUAAUGAACAUUAAUAAGCUGGUCUUGUCCAAUGAAUUCCCAUGUGGUUUCUGUCAGUGCAUCCUUUUCUUUUUUUCCAGUGUACUUUACCAGAUUUGUUUAAGGAUAUUCCUAUUCUUUGACUGUUA